GGCUUCCAGGAGCUUUGGCACUGGCCAAUCAUUGAUGCUGGAAGUCGGGAGAGUCUUGCCUGCUAAACGAGCGCUAUGCUGGGUGGCGAUGGGGCUACCUUCUCCAGAGGCUUCCUCAGCUUCGGAUCACUGGGACUGAGUCUCCCAAGAUGUAGUCAUCAUGCCAUGGAACGGCAUCACGGACAGGAGUCGACAUGAUGAGCAGCAAGGUGAGACGCAGCAUGAACAGCAAUUUAGGGUUUCUCAUUAGAUGGAUGUAAGUGCAAGCAGCAUGCAGAGGAAGCAGCAGAGGCAGGGAGGCUGAAGCAGAUUUAAAUAGAGCGCCCAAUAAGAUCAGCUGACCUGGUUGUGAUAUGUGGCAAUCGGAUGGAGUGAGCCUGCUCGGGAUAGCCCGCCCAUAUCAGCUGAUGAGCGAGAGCUGGGCAGAGCAGAAUGACUCCGUGGCCUGACUGAACUGCUUUAUUUUUUAAGACCUUUCUUCACAGGGGAUCAUUUUGAACUCUUCUAUCAUCAUUAUCGGUCUGUUAUUUUUAUUUCAUACUUGCAACUCUUUUCACAUUUGAGACCCAAACAGUAGAUCACAGCAUGCAUUAGUAAAUGUCUCCAGUAUACAGAGCGGAUCUGUGUUGUUAUAAAAGGCCGCUGUGUCUGUGUAUUUUCAGAGUGGCUGUCUAACACACUGUCUUUUUAAUCAAAGAGCGUUUCUGUUUGGGAAAUAAAUAGUUAUUUUAAUUAGCUGCUACAUAAACAACCAAGAUGACACUAAGUCAUUUUACAGGUUAAAGAGUGACAUAUUUAUGUCAUUUAAACAGUAACUCAGAUUUCAGGGUCAGUAAUGCCAUUGUAGUUGUGUUUAAAAAACCCUCCUGGAGGAUAAAACUCACAUUAGAUUGAACAUAUAAAUCCACAGCAAAGGUCAAAACAUCUGCGUUUUUUUCUGUCCUCUUUAUGAACAGAUGUCACUAAUGAUACCACAUCAUAGAGAAACCAUGAGGGACACUUACUCAAAGUUUACCACAUCAAAAUAAAACUUUUACAAACUUAAUAUGAUACACCAGGAGGAGGAUUUCUGUCUCUGUAGAAACCGAUAUCUGCGUGAAGAUCAGCUAACAAUCUGUUCUAGAUCAAACAUUUACACUGAGACACUAAUCUGACUAAUGCUCAGUCACUGAAGACAAUCAGAGUUUAGAUUUACAGACUUCCCUGAAUGUAUCAGAGAUGAUGGAGCUGACCUCCAUUCAACUAAGGAUGAAUAGAUGUCUGAAUGACUGAUGUUACAGUAACACAGAGACUCACCGCAGACAGAUGAAGAACACAUAGUUUCCUGUCAGUUCUGUUUGGAGGAAAAUAUCUAAUCAGCUGGUCACAUGGCAGAGACUCUGGGCAAACUGAGCAUGAGAAUAGGGAAGAAAUCAGAUUGAACAGCUGAUGGAGGAGGUCAGAGAAAACAUCCUGACUAUCUUCUGUGCUCACCAUUCAGCUAAGACUAACUGAGGCUACAGUUCAUACGAGUUCACCAAACUAGAAACAGCAGGUUGGAGAAAUGAUACCUCUUCUGCUUAGUCAGGAUUAAACAGUCUGAAAGCAUGGAUCCAUCCUGUCAGGCAGGUAGAGUAUCAGUGAAAGUCCUCAGCCAUAUUAUCACUGAGCAUCCUUUUAUGACAUCAGUAUGACAGUAAGCUCAUCAGAUCUCAGUCCGAGAGCACCUUUUGGGGAUCAAUGUAGUCACAUGAUGAAUCUGCAGUAACUGAAUGGUGCUUUCAGGUCAGCAUGGACUAGCAUCUCUGAGAAGUCUUUACUCCAUGACUCAGGAUGAGUCUGAAGGGGCUCCAGCCCACUGUUCUUUAAAGUGCCCCUAAUAAACCCAGAAUCAGUUAGAGGCACUGUGUUGAUGAAACCCACCUUUGUUGUUGGGUUUAUGGGUGUGAAUGUCUGGCCCUGUAAACUGGAUCAAAGUGACAGACCAGAAUGAAGACUCUGGGGGAAAUCCUGUCUGUCUUCCCUUUGUCCUGCUGUGAUCUCCCGUUCUGCAGAUGAAGUGUCCUCCUGCAGACGGCGUUGGUAAACUUGCACACUGGCAACUCCUUUUCCUCACAGAGACUCACAAUAGGUGUAAUGAGGCAUCAGGAUGAAGUAGUUUGUUGUCUGGUGUAAACAGAUGGAUGUAGGCUGUGAUUAAAACCAAUUAACUCCCCCCCAGAUCUAAAUAACUUUCUGUCAUUAAUGCACAUAUUUUACACCUCAUUAGAGGCCUGUGAUUGGAGGUGGAAAAAUACCACACAAGAAAGGAGAGGAAGGAGAGGGACUCAUUUGCAUUUUAGAUUCACAAUAUGCUGAGGACGAGGGGGGGGGGGGGCUGAGUGGCUGAAAACACUCGAGGCCACAUCUGUGUGAGCUAAAAGAGCUUCAGGAAGCGACACAUGACUUCCUCUAAUUAGUUGUAAGCUUUUCAUUUUUUUGGUAGUAAUGUGGACAGUCACACAACCCAUUCCUCCCUGUCGCCUCCCCCCUCCUCCUCCCCUGGUGCUGAAAUGUGCAUCGUGGGGUGAAACAGGCAAGAUGUUAACUAAUUUUAUUUUUAAUCUUUCCUUUUGCCGCCGAGCGUGUCGUGCGGGCACUGUGUCUUCUGAAAUUUCCUCGCCUCUUUCAUGGAAACAUAUUGGGGCAGAAUUCGCCAGCUGUCGGCCUCCUCUCCCUUCUGCUGCCAUUAUCCUCAAGCCCCGCCCACCCUUAUGUCCGCCCAGCCUGCCAGAGAGUGCCGCCCGCUUCAAAAUCAAAAGGUGGCUCUUUUCAAUCCAGGCCACUGUCACAAACAUCCCCAAAACCUGAACCACCACCCUGCCCCACCACACCCCCUCCACCACCCGUGCAUACAACCUUCACUAACAUGUCCUCCAUGUUUGCUUCCACACUGUAUAUCAUACCCAGCACACAGCUUUGGCUCUGGAGUACGUGAUAGUGCCAGGCGUGUGACCAUAUGCCACCCCUUCACCCCCCGCCCCCUUUGCAACCUUACCUCCCUUAUCUGAUUCUCAACAUAUCUGUCCAUCCAUCAGGACACCAUCACACCACAAGAAGAGGAUUCACAGGUUCAACAGCCUCCAGCUUCACUUCUUCCCUGCCUCUGGUCUGUUUACAUCCACAGAAAUCUGGGCUACCCCCUGAACAGGACUUGUGACCUGUGUACCUGGAAAUGCAUAGCCCCGAAUUUAAAUAAAUGAAAGUCUUUUUUAUCUUAUAAGAGGUGUUGGGUAAAUUAGAUAAAGAUCUAAGUUGAAGAAAAAAAUUAAAUACUUUUUUUUUAAUAAGUUUAACAUAGAAAUGUUUUAUUUAGAAAAAAAAAGUGGGAAAAAAAACAGUUUUAUUAAAAAAUAAGCUUUAUAAAAAAAGUUUGAUAGGAAAGAAGUUUCAUAAAGAAAGAAGUUUUAUGAUAAAAUAAGUUUAAUAAAAAAAUUGUAAGUUUGAUGAAUAAAAUAAAUUUGAUAAAUACAUGUUUUUUUUAUUCACUUUUUUCUUGAAUUUCUUCAGUUUUUUUUAUAAUGAGGAGAAAUUUCACAGAAAACAUGACUCAUGAAAUCAUCUUUCAAAUCUGCUGUGUAAAUAGUAGGCACCCCUGUCCUGUCUGCAUGUUUGCCUUGCUCUUAAAGGGAAUGGGAGAUCAUCUUACACCAAAAAAACAUGCCUUAAAACAUAAGACCUCUUUGCUCCCUGCCCCUCACUCCAGACUCAGACCAGUGCUGCAGUAAAAUAAUAGGACUCUGUCAGUGCAUGAAUGAUAUUGCAAAGUCAGGCCAUAUUUGGGAUCAUGAAGCAGAAAGGAUCAUCUUACGAUGUGACUCCUCUCAGCACCCAGAACUCUGAAUUUGACUGAACCUGCAGCUGAUUUUAUCCACAUGCACACGUUUAGUUUUUUAGAUUCUUCCCCUCAGAGUCAUUUUCCAUGAACUUGGUUUCUGGCUCGUGGAAGGCUCUUCUCUUUGUUGCACUGAUACUUUUCAGCUCAGAUCAGUCCCUGGUUUCAAAUCCUGUGUUGGUUUUUUUCUCCUUUAUUCAUGCAUUAUGGUCCUUAUUACACUGGUAUAUGUGCAGUGCCGUACUUUUAUUAAUAUCCCCCACAAUAAGCGUGUGAUCUCCUGAGCAGCUUGUCCUCCGGAUUAUGUCUGGCUGAGCGACUCCGUUGACCCUAAGGCUCUGUGUCAGAUGCUGCUUAAGGACCUGGGGGCUGAGGGGGGCUGGGGAGGCCUCCCUGAUGUCCUCUAAUGGGGUCCAGCCUCCACAGAGCUCUCACACAUCUGCAUGCAAUGAUACCUCUCCUCACAGUCAGGCCUGUUGGAUCUGAGAGCCUGUCAUACUGAGAGAAAGACUGAGAGUCAUUGAAGGACAGGAGGGUCUGUGCUCUUCUAGAGGAGGAAAGAGGAUAGAGGAUAUCUCUCUAGAAAUCAACAUACAGUGGCACAAGGAGCUGGUUUCUCUGUUAGUCCAGGAACUGUGCUGACGUCCCAACAGAACCAGUACGGAGAAAGUAUGGAGAACACCCUGGUUCUGUUGUCUGUAUUUGAAGUACAGUGGUACAUUUAUGACAGAAAUAUGGGAGUGUUUGCUGGUACAGAUCUUUUUCUGGUUUGUGGAUGUUUGCAGAAUCCUGACUCUUUCUUUGAGCCUUUUACAGUGUUCUGAUCCACAAAUAUGGUGAUAUGUCCAUUCACCCCUUAGCCGCCUGGUCCACCUUAAACGAACCCGGGUCUGUUCCCCUGAUGGUCAGGUUCCCCUGAUGGUCAUGUUCUUUGGGCAUGCUAUGAAAUCUCAGACUUCAGUGUGGUUUGUUUGAGGUGUAAAAGUAAAGCUGGACCUGAAACUGUACCUUCAAAAAGGUUCUGAUUUUCACUGUUGAUCCUAGAGACCCUGAUAAUCUGGUUCUCUUAGAACAAUUGCUUUUGUACUGUCAAUCAUUAGAUCCUCUCAUCACAGUUAGACAGCUUUGUCAGCAGUAAGGGAAAGGGUCUCAGGUGGUCUUAGUCCAACCUGACAGAUAGAACCUUCUCUAUCUGUAGGAUUAUUUCUCUUAGACUUGUGGUAUCCCAUGAGAGGUGUUGCCACAGUUACUUCAAAAAAGUAUUUUGAUUACUGAUUAUGGAUUACUUCUUUAAAAGUAACUUAGUCACUUUACUGAUGACUUGAUUUUAAAAAGUAAGUUAGAUAAGUUACUUUUUAAGGUACACCCAGAAGCCUCAACAUAUAAUUGACAACAAUUUUCUUUCCAACACUCACUUUAUUGGAAGUGUAAUUUUAACAGGAAUGUCAAAAAAUACAUAUCUUUAAAUAAUUAAAUAAAUAAAUAAAUAGAUAAAGAUAGUCUUUCUUAACUGACAAAACAUCAAGAUUUUGAUUUACUAAAACAUGAUUUUGAUUUACUAAAGUUAAUGAAAGUGAGUGAAUAUGCUCUAACAUUUUAACCUACAUUAACUUUUGUGUAGAUAUAUUUUUGGAUGUGGAUGAAUUUAGGAUCACUCAAGUAAGUGAAUAUUUGAAUCAUGAGGUUUGUAUACUUAAGUGAGGCUGGUCCUUGAAGAGGAUGGGACAGGUUCACCGAAGGUUCGGGUUACCAGUGGUUUGAGAGGUUUGGCUCAGCAGAGGACUGGAGUCAGCCAAGAGAUGGGUCAGGAGUCACAGCACUCGGGCCUAAAUGCAAAAAACAGCACCUUGUGAAUCCUAUGGACGCUAUUUUGGUCUCACCAUAAAACUCUGGCACAGAGGAUGACUUUGGGCCCGCUGUGUGGCGUUCAGAGGUGACAUUGGAAUCAGGCUGAGAACUAAGAAAAAGAGGCUUGAUAGCCAGUCAAUACUAUUUCAAAACAGUUGAAGUUUCAAAACUUUAAGACGAUGUUAAAGAAAAAUUUAAUCAAUGUAAAUGAACACGUGGCAGAAAACUUAGAAGACUAAGAGAAAAAAUAAAACUAAGUAGUAGGAGUAACAGCUAAGAGGGAAAUAAGAGGAUCAGAGAAUAAAACACAGAAAAGAGUGAGCACCCCAGCUUUACUGGUUUUAUCUCCUUCACACUGGGAGUGUCUCUGAGGUGUGUGCGUGUGAGGAGAGAGAGGAGGGGUUAUUGAGCCUCCUGCUGCAGCUCCUUGAGGGGAGACCUUCAAGAUCUCUGAUUAUUUGAUCUAACUUAUACCUUUGACUGGUAAAGGAGUCAGAUCUGAUUCUCACUCACUAUGAUUAAUAUCAUUGAAUGCUUGGUUUCAUGAUAAAUGAUUUGAUACUAAACACAUAUGAAGAAAUAUAGAAUCACAUCAAACAUUCUCAUUAUGAUUUAAGUAUCACGUUGAACAUAUUCAAUUACUCUGAAGUGAAACAGGUAGUAACAAAUAGAAACUGUAAGUACAUGCAAAUGAACUUCAUCAAGAUUCACAAGUUCGAUCCAAGAUGGCGCCAGGAGUAGGUGCCCUGGUGUUUUGGUGCUCAUUGUUUUGUCUGUUUUUGUGCGUUGACUGUGUGUCAUCGUGCUCCUACACCCGUGUGGAGCUUCUAAACAUUAGAUCAACUACACCCACAGACAUUAUGCCAGUUUUUUUAGCAUCUGCUGCUGAACUGGUCCACUUUUUGGCCAAAAGAGUGAGACGCCGGCGAAGGGGAGAGUGAGCUGGGGUGCUCGCGCAUCUCAGACAGCGAGGCACGCGUACGCCCUUACCUGGGAUUUUCCUCUCCAACGUCUGCUCACUCAGCAACAAGAUGGAUGAGCUAGCACUGCUGAUGAAGAGGAAUAGAGACUUCUCCUCAUCUUGUGUUCUGUGCUUCACGGAGACGUGGUUAAAUGCACAGACACCGGAAUGCGCCAUACAACUUGAGGGUUUUCAGCUCCUCCGCGCAGACAGAGAUCGUGUACUCUCAGUUGGAAAAACAAAAGGUGGAGGAGUCUGCUUCUACAUCAACAACGCCUGGUGCUCCGAUGUGACAGUGAUCUCCCAACACUGUUCUCCUUCUCUGGAAUAUCUCUUCAUAAACUGCAAACUGCUCUACUCUCCAUGUGAGUUUGUCUCAUUCAUACUCUGCUCUGUUUACACUCCACCGAGUGCGGAUGUGCACGAGGCCGAGCGCGCGCCUGCGGAGCAGGUUAUGAGCUUAGAGAGGAAUUUUCCGGACUCCUUAGUUAUAAUCCUUGGUGACUUUAACGAAGGAAAUCUCAGUCAGGAACUACCAAAAUACACAAAUUCAUUUCUGUGAAGACAGCAUCAUCCCACAACAUACCAGGGUGAAAUACAACAAUGACAAGCCCUGGUUUACAUCAAAAUGCACAACGCACGUCUGGAGCAAAGAUUCUCUGCCAACGACCCUGCCUUGGUGUGGAGGGGGUUGAAAGAGAUUACAAACUACAAGCCCAAAGCACCUCGUUCAACUGACGACUUGAAACUAGCCAACGACCUGAACGACUUCUAUUCACGCUUCAAAGUCAUGGACUCACAUCCCCUCAACCCCCUACACAACUGGAAAUCUAACCACUUUUGGCCUCCCCCCUCCCCCCGCUGCCCUCUCGGUCCAUGAAGAGGAAGUAAACAGACUGUUUAAAAGGCUGAGUCCACAAAAGGCUGGUGGCCCAGACGAUGUCUCUCCUGCCACUCUGAGACACUGCACUGAUGAGCUAGCUCCAGUCUUCACGGGGAUCUUCAACACCUCCCUUGAGUCAUGCCAUGUUCCAGCCUGUUUCUAGUCCUCCAUCAAUGUUGCCAUCCCCAAGAAACCUUGCAUAACUGGACUCAAUGACUACAGACCAGUGGCUCUUACGUCUGUAGUCAUGAAGACCUUUGAACGCCUGGUUUUUGUCCAUCACCGACCCCCCCCCCCCCCCCCCCACAGACUUCCCGACAGACCGGAGUCAGUGUGUGCGGCUGGAGAAGAAUGUUUCGGACACUCGGGCUCUUAGCACAGGAUCUCAUUUAGUUUGCGGAUGACACCACCCUCAUCGGACUCAUUUUGGAUGGAGAUGAGUAUGCCUACAGGAGGGAAGUGGACUGGCUGGUGACCUGAGCUCAACGCCCAGAAGACAGUGGAGAUGAUUGUGGACUUCAGGAAAGCCACAGUCCCCCUGCCCUCCCUCAACCUCACCAACUCCCCCAUCACCACUGUGGACUGUUACCGCUUCCUUGGCACCACCAUCACCCAGGACCUCAAGUGGGAGCCAACCAUCAGCUCCCUCAUCAAGAAGGCCCAGUAGAGGAUGUAUUUCUUGUGGCAGCUGAGGAAAGCCAAGCUGCCAGUCCAGCUGAUGGUGCAGUUCUACACGGUCAUCAUCGAAUCCAUCCUAUGCUCCUCCAUCAUGGUUUGGUACACCGGGGCCACUGCCAGGGACAGACACAGACUGCAGCGCAUUGUAGGCUCUGCUGAGAAGGUGAUCAGCUGUAGCCUUCCAUCUCUCCAUGACCUGUACGUCUCCAGGACUCGGGGCCGAGCAGGUCGGAUCACAGCUGACCCUUUUCACCGUGCACAUGGACUAUUUGAGACACUCCCCUCAAGCAGGAGGCUACGGUUCAUUCAGACCAGAACCUCCUGCCAUAAGACCAGUUUCUUCCCCUCUGCCGUUAGACUCAUGAACACUUUAUAACUCAGUCACUUUAACUCUGUCACUUUAUCACUGGUCACUUUAGUUUAAUGUACUUUAGAUUUUUAAUUGCAUUCCUCCCACUGCACUGUAGUUCUAGAUAGUUUAGUUGUACAUAGCUUUUUAUACUUAUUGCACAUAGCAUUGUACAUAAUUGUACAUAUUUUUAUACUUUAUAUAUUUCUUGCAUGCUCUUAUUAGUUUUUAUUCUAGUAUUUUAUAUUUUUCUCUGUUUAUUGUUGCACCAUCAUGCCAAAACAAAUUCCUAGUCUGUGAAUCCUGUUCAUCGACAAUGGCAAUAAAACCCCUUUCUGAGUUCUGAGUUCUAAUAGGUUCUAUAUCUUCACAUUCAGAUUAUUCAAUGACAUUAUAACCACUGAAUGAUUAAAAAUAUUAAAUAAAUGAUUAAAAUAAAAACCAAACAUUUCUAAACUAUUUCUGUUUCUUAGAGUAAAAUUAUUAUUCAUAGUCCAUAGAUUUAACGCUUAAGGUUCAUGAAACAGUCUGGAAAGCUGUUGGUCUAAAGAAACAAAAGAAUAAAGAAUUUAUUCAGUCAGAGUGAUAACUUGGCUUCUGGAGCAUGUAGAAAAAUGGGACACAUUUCAUUUUUUUGUACUGAUUAGUACAUUGCUGAAUGCAUACGAUGUUAUGAUCAGUCAUUUGUAUUCUUUCUCCAAAGGAAUGCUGUUUUUAUCAGUAUAUGGUUGAGCAGGAUUUUAUGACAGAGGUCUGGAGGUCAGUGUCCAGCUCCUCAGACCUUUGGUUGGAUUCCAUGUGCUAACACACUUUACAACAGUAAAUCUCAAAUGGAAGACUUCAUUGAUUAAUGAAUACUGGUUUUAUCUUAUUAGAUGGUCAGUGAUGGAAAAACUCUGUCUGUGUUCUCCAAAUUGACUAAUUUAGAAGAGCCAGAGGUUUAGGUCAACCUUCGGUUGGGUCAGUUAGGUAACCUGAAAGUACAAAAAAGUCUGGAAAGAUUUAUAUUAUCCUGUGUCCUGGGACUAGAUAAGGGACCUUUUCUGUGAGGAAAGUAUGAGUUUCACACACAAGGUUGUCUUGAUGCUACAGCCUUAUUCCUGUGUUGUCAGAUCCGAUGUCUGAAACAUCUCUGAAGCUGAUGGGAUGAAUCCAUCUAAAUGUCUGUUCUUUAAAAGGCUCAAAUCAAACGAUUGACGAGAUUGUGACAGUCUGAAGUUGUUUUAUUGGAGGAAAUGCUACCGAAAUGACGUCAUUUGCCCUGUGUAAAUAGGAUUUAGAUCUAUCUGCGUAUUUUCAGAUGCUUAAGUUAAAGUUUAAACCAGUAUCAGAGUUAAAUUGGUCAAAUCCACCACAUUUAACGUGACAUUAUUAACCUGAGCUCAGAGGUGGCUUUCGAUGCUUUGCUAAGACUCUGUUACAUGGUCAUGUGUAUUUGUGUAUGCAUCGUUUUGCUGUGUCUGUGUUAAUUUGCUCUAACGAUGGCCCUCAUUAGUUCUAAUAAAUCCUCUGACUUUGCCUCCUUCCUCUGGAGCUGACUUUUCUCCAAACAACGCCUGUUAAAUCUCCUGCUUGCAUUUUCAGUGUUUGAUGCCUCCGUUAAUUGGCCAUGAUUCGAGCUUUUUCUUCUGCUUUCGUCGAUGCUCCAAUUCAGUGCAGAGCUAAUGGCAAAUGUCACAGUGAAUUGGCAGCUGCAUUAGCACGGCGGGCGCGUCUUCAUUCUAUUUUUUGUCUGCAGCUCAAUGUAUACAUGACUAUCAUGGAAGGCCAUCCACCUCAUUAAGGGGCCUGGCCAUUAAGACAGGAGCAACAGUUGUGGACAUGAUGUGGGAGCGUCAGGACGAAGAGGAUUGUUUCCCCCUCAGCAGCUCGGGUCAUUAGCUCCAGCUCUGCUCCUCUAAAAUGCUGAUAAUGAUUGACUGUGAGAAUGGAGACGCUGUUUGGGCAGAGAUUAGACAGCAGUGGGACCAUCACACCUAAUUAAGCUGGUUCACCUCAAACAGCCUGACAUUUGGCUCAAAGGUUGAGAGAAAUCCCAUACCCUGAUCAGGAGAACCCAAGCCUUCACCUGAUCAGAUUUCAGGUAACAGAAAGACAUGAAAAUCCAACCUUCAGAGAGAGAAGAUGAAGUUUAUGAGACUAUUGAAAAGAUGCAUAAACAGUUUUUCUCUGAUAUUAUGGUGCAGGUAGGAAAACCUACAACACUACAUUGGUUGUGCUGCACACUCCGGGUUUGCAGAUCCUGAAAAAGUCGACUCAUGUUAGACUUUCCAGACUGAUCAGCAGCUGAAAAAUGGGUAAAAAGACAAAGAGGGGCAUUUAGGGUGGGGGGGUGUUUCAUAGUUCAGAACAUGCUCUACCACAGGAUUCAAUACGAACACACCGGCUGAAGGUGUUGCAGAUUAGCCUGGCUGGGCCAUCCUGUUGCAUGAAUCACUUGAUGUUCCUUCCCACCACAGUCUGGACUUCGGCCCAUAGAGAGCAUGUAUUCCUGAUCAGAAAAUAACCGGGUCAAUCAGAGACCGUGUUUCCACUGUUACCCGGACAACAGGGAAAGGCAGCCCCUGAUUGGUCCAUGUGUAGUGGUGACGUCUAACACAUGCUGCAGGACUUUUCAAAGCCCCGUUCAUUCAGAACGCCGUUAAUUCUGCAGUUGACUUUGCAAAGUCGGCAGAAAUCGUUUAGAUCCGAUCUAAACGAUUAUGUGUUGUGAUUAUGUGUUGCAGGGCCGAAGUCCAGACUGUGGUGGGAAGGAACAUCAAGUGAUUCACGCAACAGGAUGGCCCAACCAGGCUAGUUGCAGAUAGACACUCAGCAGGGGUCUGCAGCUGUG
rnacentral:lncRNA from 1 species